rnacentral:rRNA from 1 species
GGUUGACCUCGGAUCAGGUAGGGAUACCCGCUGAACUUAAGCAUAUCAAUAAGCGGAGGAAAAGAAACCAACAGGGAUUGCCUCAGUAACGGCGAGUGAAGCGGCAAGAGCUCAAAUUUGAAAGCUGGCUCCUUCGGGGUCCGCAUUGUAAUUUGCAGAGGAUGCUUCGGGAGCGGUCCCCAUCUAAGUGCCCUGGAACGGGACGUCAUAGAGGGUGAGAAUCCCGUAU